AAUGCAAUCUAAGCAGGUAAUUAAUUGAAGUUAUGUCUGAUUGUUAUGUGUUAUCAAUUUUGUGUUAUGUGUGUUAGGAAAAUAAUUUAUUAAAUAAUUUGGUUGUUUGCAGGGUGAUAGUUUUUGUACUCUUGAAGGUCAAUAUGAGCCUCCUGCUGCCAUGGGUAAUAUUUCUAGUCAGGAUGGUUCUUUUUCUACUUAUCAAGGUCAAUCUCAACCUUCUUCCGACAUGGGUAAUCAUUCGAUACAGGGUGUUUACACUCCACAAGGUCAAUCUCGACCUCCUUUUGCCAUGGGUAGUAAUUAUGUUGAGG